ACGAGUUUUAUUGAGUCAAUCUGUUAUUUAUAAACUCAUAAGGGAUUUUUAAGAGACGUUCAAUGAAAGACGUUCUCAACAGGAAUAAGAUAUUCUAACCUAUUGUCCCAGUUUAUGGCUCAGAUAUAAAUAAUGGGCUAUAAAACCUCAUCUGAAAAUAGUUGCGCAGUGCAUGCUCCGCCGCCAGCCAAUGAAACGCCACCUCUCGGCGCCGCCACGGCCGACAGCACUUCAAAGACGCCACCUUUUCCUCUUUUUUUUUUUUUUUAAAAGAGACCGACCUCUUGGUUGCGCUGGCGCUUAGCACCUUUGUUGGGAACCCCACUCACGGAGCCCGGCAGGUGACCGUCUACCUGCAGAGCGCCAUUCCGGGUCAGGGACGGCGCGCGAUGGGUGUGCUGCGGCCCCAGUGCCAGGCUGCAGAAGGCGCCUUCCUUCUCAGGGCGCAAGGACAGCUUCCCACGGCCGGGCUCUGGGCGCCGCCUCAGAAAAUGUAUUCCUUUCCCAGCGCCAGGGUGGGGGUGAGAAAGCCCACUUCCAAAGGGCUGAGGGCACAGUGUGGGACUCGGUGCAGGCCUCUCGGGCGCCAUUCAGGGGUUCACACGCCGCGCGCAGCCCGCGCGUCUCCGGGGCGCCCGCGCAGAGCCCGGGGCGAGAACAAAGGGGACGCGCCCGCCUCGGUUCCCGGGGGCCGCCGGCCCCGCCCCGCCCCGCCCCCUCGGCCCGCGAAAUGGCGGCCGCGCCACAAAAUGGCAGCCGAGCCGGCCGCCGAUGGAGAAGGAAGGGGCGCCGCGCGGCCAGCCUGAGCACCCUUCGCGCGGCUGCCGGGGGCCUCGGCGCUCCUUCGUGCCGCCCGCCGCCCCGCCCAGCAGCUCGGCCGGCCCUUCCGUGCGGGGGCUGCCUUGGCUCUUCAAACCGCCCGCUCCCCACGGGGCUCCUUCUAAGGGGGUCAAAACGGGAAGGAGCUGAGUCUCGGACCCCUGCUGCCCAGGGCGCCCCUCGGCCGGGCGCGGGAAGGGAGCCCCCCUUUCCGAGGGUCUCCACACUCGCAGCUUUAACUCCAGAUCACAGAGAAGACAGGAAAGGGGGGAUCAAAGAACCCACCCCCCAAAUGAGGGAAAUUAAGGAAAUGGGUGAACAGCCCUCACACCAGUCCUUGGGCAGCCACGCGCGGCCCUGAGCCCACUCCAGAGCGCAGCGAGGAGCCCGGGGCCGGGGCGCGGGGGUCGGCUGGCGCUGCUCCCCGCAACGUAGGUGAGCGCUUCGGGCUUUUCAUCGCUCCGCGCUGCGCUCUCCCUUCCCCCGCGGGGAGGGGCUCGGCCGGGCUGGGCCGAGGGAGGAGCAGCUGCUGCGGUCCCCAUGCCUCCCCCACCCCAGCGUGAGAGUCUCAGUAGGCUCGGGCUUUGCUUUGGCUCUGGCUGGCUUGAUGCACGCAGGGCGGUGGCGGUGUGCUUUUCAUUUUUCGCUUUCUUUCCGUCAAAGGCUCUCUUCCCCGCGCUCCCCACCCCCCAGCUUCCCCAGGGCUCGGUCUUUCCAGAAACUUCUCAGGGAAACUCAGCAAAAAGCCGCAGGCUCGGCCAGCCCCUCCCUCCCAGAGCAUGCGCGACGGGCUGGGCGUCAGGCUCGCCGCGCGCGCGUGGGAGUGUGAGAGUGGUCCGUGCGCGCGCGCGCCGGGCGGGGCGGCUCUCUCACAAUGAAGAGAACAAGUUUUUCUCCCCUCCCCCAAAGUUCCUUCGUUGCGCAAGCGCAUUGGGGCACCUCCCCCUGGCCUUUGAGAGAAGGGGGAGGGGCAGGUCUGAAGUGCUCGAGUUGUUGCUCCGCGCGCCUGCGCACUCGGACGUCUUCGGGGCGCCGUCUUUUCCGCGCUGCCUGUGCCAGCGUCUUUGAUGUGAAGUGCGUGUGAGCAAGUCGGUUGUGCCGUAGUCAGUUUCCUCCACUCCCACUCGCGGAAACUGUAGCUUCUCGAGGGGUUAUUAAUUCUAUACGGCGGGUUUCCUGGAGAUUACCCGUCCCGUUGUGCCUCAGGGCUGAGGUCGGAGUGUGUCUCGUUGGCCCCCUUACCCUCCUGCCGGCGCCAUGUUUGGAACGGCUCCUGACUGGAUUCGGUGACUGGAGUGUGGUGGAGCCUCCUCCAAAUUGGGGAGAACAGCCCUGGGCGAAGGAGGUGGUGGCCGGGCUGGCUGCCAUCAGGCGCUGCCUGCACUUGUUGCUCGCUGAGCCAAAAUAGAGGGGUCCUUUCUUUGGAACGCCGCCCUUGGUCCUCGACACCAGCCUCAGCUCGGGCUGGCCGCUCGGCUUGUCCCCGGUGUGUGGAUGCGGACAAAGAAAGGGCCCGGGCGCACGGCUCUGUCUCUUGGCAGAACCGAGCUUGGAGGGCGGUGACCAUAGUAACCGCACUUACUCUUUCUCAAGCCCAUGAAUUUUUCUUCAGCAUGAUUUUAACUGAAGGCUGCAUUCAAGGCCAGCACCCAGGACCCCGGCUCCGGCGGCUGGAGGCCGUGCCUGCCUCUGCACGCUCGGCGCCCGGGGCUUGACUGAGC
rnacentral:lncRNA from 1 species